GACGAACGCUGGCGGCGUGCUUAACACAUGCAAGUCGAGCGGUAAGGGCCCUUUCGGGGGUACACGAGCGGCGAACGGGUGAGUAACACGCGGGUGACCUGCCCUCAGCUCUGGGAUAAGCCUGGGAAAACCGGGUCUAAUACUGGAUAUGACUCCAUGACGCAUGUUGUGGGGUGGAAAGCCUUGUGCGGCUGAGGAUGGGCCCGCGGCCUAUCAGCUUGUUGGUGGGGUGAUGGCCUACCAAGGCGACGACGGGUAGCCGGCCUGAGAGGGCGACCGGCC
rnacentral:rRNA from 1 species